UCUUAGGGACAACACACUUGUCUUCACUGAAAUCCUAGUUUGUUGAUGAGAGACUUGCUCUUUGUACCUACCCAUCAGCUGAACCAGA
rnacentral:snoRNA from 1 species